CUCGCGCCGCUACAAGCAUGGCGUCAUGUGGUAUCAGCGCAGGCCGUGGUUUGGAGAGGAGUGUGGAUAGAUUUAUGGGUGGUGAGUGCACGUGGGAAGGUGUCAAUCUAGAUGUCAUGAGAGGAUGAUGAAGUUUGGUAUUUCAUUUCAGUUCGUGGUGUGGAGAGGUAAGCGAAUAGGAAAAGAGAAAAGAAGAAGAGGAAGAAGAAAAACAACAACAACAACAACAACAACAACAACAACAACAACAACAACAACAAUAACAACAAUAACAAAAGCAGAAACAGGAACAAGAAAAGAAGACUAGAAGAGUAACAUAACUUUGGCAGUCCAGGAAGAGACAAGGGUUGAUAAGCCAACUCCGGGUGGACGGAUGAGUGGGUGGGGAGGAGCCCUCUACUGUACUGUGCUGUCUUAUGAUAGCAGGGAACAGUUACCCAAACAGUCUGAUACGGACGUCCAGAUUGUGAGACAUUUGGGU